GACGAACGCUGGCGGCGUGCUUAACACAUGCAAGUCGAACGAAGUGGCGAACGGGUGAGUAACGCGUAAUCAACCUGCCCUUCAGAGGGGGACAACAGUUGGAAACGACUGCUAAUACCGCAUACUGAAGGAGGGGAUUGGGUCUGAUUAGCUAGGUGGAGGGGUAACGGCCCACCAAGGCGAUGAUCAGUAGCCGGGCUGAGAGGAUGAACGGCCCCAUUUGGACUGGGACACGGCCCCGACUCCUUCGGGAUGCAGCAGUGGGGAAUCUUCCGCAAUGGACGAAAGUCUGACUAAGCAACGCCGCGUGAUUGAUGACGGCCUUCGGGGUGUAAAGCUCUGUUAAUCGGGACGCGGUACCGGAAUAGAAAGCCACGGCUAACUACGUGCCAGCAGCCGCGGUAAUUC
rnacentral:rRNA from 1 species